GCGGGCGCGGCCCGUGCCGGCAAAAUGGAAGCGCUGGGAAUGGAGACGGUGCCCACACGGCCGCGUUCAUUGGUCUGCUGCAAGCGCGAGGAACAGCAGACGAAUGCUUUUGCAGAAAAACGGCGGGAAAAACAGGUCAGGGAAACGAAGCACCUGAUUUAGGUGGGGAUCCUGAUGGAAUCGAUGUAUUGGACAGUCAGUGAAAAGAAGAGAAAUGGAUGCUGUUUGCAGGGACAAAAAGUGCAGAAAAGGCAGAACGAAUCACAUCAGUAGACAAGCAGGAGUAUAUUAAAGCGUUUGCUUAAGCAAAAUGAACAACAUAACAACGAAUAGUAAAAUUGUCACUGAGGAAUGAAAUUCCAAGUCUAAAGAAUAAAGGCUUAGAUGUCAUGGGCUUAGAUGGUCGCAGCAACAAUGGCUCAUCAAGAUCAGCGAGGCCACACUGGCAAGAAACAACACAGAAACAACCCACACAAAUUGGGAAAGUCUACACAAUAUUAGGGGCGUCAUGACUGAAUCAGUAGACGUUCAUAGACUAAGUAAGUGGGAAAACUGACAAGAAGCAAGAGGGAAAACUGUGCAAGCAGGGACUGCGUUUGUUUCAGUACAUCAGCCUAAGGCAUGGGCUGAUGGCUGGCUCAGGCACAGUACCAGUGGACCAGAGAUCCCAUCCUCAUGUCUUUGUCCUAUGGCCCCUGCCUCCUGGAUCUCUCCUCAGAAGCUGAGUAUUAGGGGAGGACCCUAAGGGUAGAGCUCAGCUCCCUGAAGAGACUGUUGUGUUUCAUGACAUGAGUUCAACCAAAUUUGGACUAAAUGUCACUUUGGAGACACAUCCCAGAGCUGGACCCCCAAUGCCUGAACUACUGUCUGCAUCUACAGCCAGCUGGACUCAGGAGCUUCUGAACUGGAAUAAAACCCAGUGUGGCAAGUGAUGCAGGAUGAGAAGGUCUAUUCCAUCACCCUGUACUAAGCAAGCAAGCAUCAUCAGAAUUACUGAGAACCCAGACAAUGCAAACAGCAUUCUAGCCUACUAGUACCUCUAGUAGGUCUGAAAAUAAGGAUAUAAAUAAGGGGAACAAGUCUAUAUUUGCUCUGACACUACCAAUGGCUGUCACCACAAUUCAGCCACCUCAUCUGAGAGUCAGCUAUCAUCAAAUGAAAACAUAGGACUUGCGUAGUUUGGAAAUUGCAGAGGCUCCUGAAAUUCAUUUGGGUAUCCUGAGGACAAACCAGAGGAAAGAUGAGCCCUCCAGCCACCUGCAUCUACAUAUUAACAGAGCGAAAAUAACCAAAAAAGAGUUGAGAAGAGUUUUAUGGGACAACCGUAGACAUAGGCCAGGAAUACCUGAAUCUCAGCCUUUCAGUGGGCAACAUCAUUCAGCCUCUCACCCUCCUCCACAGCAAGCAUAAGCAGAAGUAUUCAAAACUACAAAUCUCAAGAGUUCAGCCCAUAAUGUCCCUGACUGCAGGACAUUCAUCCUCCAUUUCUAUUUACAAAAUAGCUUCCAUCUUAGCUUCAAAGCAUGAGGGAGGCCAAGAGAAAGCCCAUAUGAUCACGGAGCUUUCAAGGGAAAGGAGGCUGUAGAUAGUACUUCUGUUAUCUCUGUGCUCUCACCUCUCCUUUAAAACAGAAAUAAUCCUUCAUGAUGACUGCAGACCUCUCAAGUCCCUUUCCUCCUUCCCAGCUUCACCUGGACUAAGGCAGGUUUCUUCUAGCAUUUUGCUCUACAAGACCUGUUUUACAUCAAUGUUUCCCUAUUACUUUGCAUGAGUUACUGCAUUAUUUAUUAGUUUAAAAUGUACUGUUAUAUAAUCCCAUCAAAUGUACUUUUAAUCUUAAGCAAUGAAGAGAAAGGCAUGAUAAUGACAGAACAAUGCACAAUUUAACAUCAAAUGUUUUUCUGAAACUCUUAGUAAUAAUCCUUUUCUUUUUUAGUAACCACAUUUAACUCUUCAUCCUCUUCUGAUCCAAACAUUUCACCAGGGCUAUGACCAAUUUCGCUCUCAUUAUUUUUCUAAGAUCUAUUUUUAUAAUGCAGUGCCUACAACAAGACCCAACAUCCAACAUGAGGCUAGGCUAUUUAUCUAGGGCUUAUUCUUAACUACUUUUCCACAAUUCAGGAUAAUUUUGGAUCAUUUCAGAAAAUGGGAAUUUAUAUAUGAAAUACCUCAAUUAACUGUGUUUUGAUUUUACUGAGUUCUCUUUUUCCAGCAGACUUUGCUAACAUUGGCAUGCCUUGCUGUUGUCAUGGCAAUGAAAGGAGUCUGUAUGGUUUGGGAUGUGACUCAGAAAAAAUUUUAUACAGAAAUGGGCCAACAAUUAGAACAAAGGACAUUGAAUGUUUCUGUGCCACCAGUUAAUAAAUGGUCAAUGGAAAAAAAAGAUCUCAAAUCAGAACAAAUGAUAGUGAAUAAAACUUGACUGGAUAGAAGACAUUAAAUGGCUUCUAUCUAGAAGUCAUUUAAUCUAUCAAGAAGUAAUUUAAUCUUCUAUCUUCUAGACCCUCUCUUGCAUUUAGGUCUCUGUGUGGGUACAGCUUUAUCACCCCCAAGAGUAAUUAAAAUCACAGUGAUCUGCCUGGGCAAUUACUUAACCAGACUAGAAGUCAGAUUUGCCCAAAGAAGCUAUGUUCCUUGUGUUUAGAAAUAUGACGAGUCUUGUAUUGUGGAAUUAUCCCAAUAAAAACAGUCUCAAGGCCAUCAUCUCUGUGAGGGCUCCUUCAAAGGCAAGACUCUUCUCACAACGGCUCACAACUUAUAUUAGGCAAAAGAGAGGCGAGUUUGCCAAUUAAAAGAUGAGGAAAGGAGCUUGUGGCAGUCACUGAAGAGGUGUGGACAGAGCAGUUGUAAGCAUUAAAGCUAACCCACAUCAAUCUAUGAAGUGCAUGGAAAAAAUAUUUAUAGCUAGGCUUAAAAUACCAAUCACCUAAGUCUUCUGUAUGUUACUCAUGACAACACUGGCUCUUUUCCUGUGGAUCCAAGGUACAUGAGGGAAGCUGUUAUUAGAUCAUUUGCCUGUGCAGGGAUGCCAAAUGUGAAGGCACUAAAAUAUAUGCAUCUGUGUCAGUCCUUAAUUUCAUCUUUUGACUCAUGUUCUGGAGUGAUAGUUCCUCUGCCUGGCACUUCCUGUUCAUACCAAGCUGAUCCAUACUAAGUUUUAUUAGAAAGCAAUCUAAAGCCACAUCCACGUGUACCCCAGUACAAAUCAUCAGUGCCACAAAAUCAGCAGUUUCAGAGCUCAGGAUUGCAGGUAGUCAUGUCACUUCUUCUACUGUUAGACUCAGCUGUGAAAUGCAGAGUAGGAACCAGUCCGAAGUAACCUCAAAUUUAAGAUCUAGUUCAAUCCAUGGCCUUCUCUCCCUUUCUUUAGCUAGCUGGUAACUUUUUCAAACUGUUUUGCUCAGCCUAGCUUUGUAUCAAGGUUCCACACCUCAAAAAUGCCCUUGGCCAAGCCAAGACAAAAAACAUUACAGAGAACAACGGGGAAAAACACAUGAGAAAUGAGGGGUUUGCACUGGAAGACAAUGAAUGACAAUAUGCUGGCAAAAUUAAAAGGAAUAUAUGUGAACAACUAAGUAACAACUGAAUUCAUACACAAAACUAAUUCCAAACUAAUCCAUGAAACAUUUUGAGAAUAAGUGGCAAGCACGUUACUAGGACUUCAGGAGGAUUAGUAAUUCUCAUUACCUCAAUAUGGUAACACCCAGUACACAGCCACAGUGCAGCUUAAAUAUUGUGUCACAAUAAUACCUAUAUGCAUAGAGAUACUGGAGAGAACUAAACAACAAAAGAGAAUGACCAGUGGUCAAAGUACCAUUCAUAGGAUUGCCAUUCCCAGCUGCAUUCUUAUGGGUUGUUCACCAUUCCUUCAGGGUUUCAUGAGUAAAUGUUGGUGCUAUGCUGUCCUUUAAAAACCCCUCUUGUGCUACCUUGUAGUGUGUCCCCACUUCCCAUGCUUUUAGCAGUACUGUCAGGAAAAGUGCCUGUCACAAUUGCUUUCCCCUGCCAUGCCCUGCCGUCUUUCCUACUCGGUGAGUAAGACUUCCUUUGAGUGGAAACAUGGAAAAAAGGCAGCACAGAGCUCUAACAAUCCCUUUGUGCUUACUACUGGAGACUUCCUGUCCCUUUGCAUUUUGCGUGGAGAGGUUAUCCAGCUUCCAUGGCCUUGGAGCAACAGGAGCAAAUAGAGCAGUUGGUCUUGGCAGGACACAGGGGGAUGGACCCAAACUCUGCCAAAUAUAGCACUCAAGAGCUGUGUGCCCAUCCCCAGCACGCUCAGAGCCCUCCCAAAAGGGAGCAGCCAGCAGGGUCACACCAGUUAAUAUUCACAGAGAGUUGCAUAAUAUCAAACUGGGCUCAGCAGCAAAGGAACGCUCGAGCUGUUUCAAGCAAGCACUUUUCUGGUUUCUUCAAUGGAAUCCAGGACAGGUGAAAAAUUUAGGAAAGGAAGACUAAAGUUUAUGUCAUUCAUAAGCACAGCACUGAUCCAGUUCCCAUCUUCAUCACAAGAAAAAAAAGCCUUUAUUUAGAGGGCUUCAGUUAAGCAAAAAGCUUCUGGUUUUUUUAUUGAGACCAUCUGACCUUGAGUAAGUCCCUUUCCUUGUUAUUUCUCCCUGAAAUGAGUUAUACAUCUAACUACUGGCAGAGUUAUACAUCUAACUACUGCUUUCAAAUUACUCUAAUCUUUUUGCACAAAUGCAAAAUAUUAUCAUCCUUUACCACAACUGUUUCAUGCAAGAUC